rnacentral:rRNA from 1 species
GAUGAACGCUAGCGGCAGGCUUAAUACAUGCAAGUCGAGGGGUAGCAAGAUUGUAGCAAUACAAUUGUUGACGACCGGCAAACGGGUGCGGAACACGUACACAACCUUCCUACAAGUGGGGAAUAGCCCAGAGAAAUUUGGAUUAAUACCCCGUAACAUAGCGAUGUGGCAUCACAUUGCUAUUAUAGCUUCGGCGCUUGUUGAUGGGUGUGCGGCUGAUUAGAUAGUUGGCGGGGUAACGGCCCACCAAGUCUACGAUCAGUAGCUGAUGUGAGAGCAUGAUCAGCCACACGGGCACAGAGACACGGGCCCGACUCCUACGGGAGGCAGCAGUAAGGAAGAUUGGACAAUGGACGCAAGUCUGAUCCAGCCAUGCCGCGUGAAGGAUUAAGGUCCUCUGGAUUGUAAACUUCUUUUAUAAGGGACGAAAAAAGGUCUUUCUAGAUCGUCUGACGGUACCUUAUGAAUAAGCACCGGCUAACUCCGUGCCAGCAGCCGCGGUAAAAC